rnacentral:rRNA from 1 species
GCGCGUGCUAUACAUGCAGUCGAGCGGACAGAUGGGAGCUUGCUCCCUGAUGUUAGCGGCGGACGGGUGAGUAACACGUGGGUAACCUGCCUGUAAGACUGGGAUAACUCCGGGAAACCGGGGCUAAUACCGGAUGGUUGUCUGAACCGCAUGGUUCAGACAUAAAAGGUGGCUUCGGCUACCACUUACAGAUGGACCCGCGGCGCAUUAGCUAGUUGGUGAGGUAACGGCUCACCAAGGCGACGAUGCGUAGCCGACCUGAGAGGGUGAUCGGCCACACUGGGACUGAGACACGGCCCAGACUCCUACGGGAGGCAGCAGUAGGGAAUCUUCCGCAAUGGACGAAAGUCUGACGGAGCAACGCCGCGUGAGUGAUGAAGGUUUUCGGAUCGUAAAGCUCUGUUGUUAGGGAAGAACAAGUGCCGUUCAAAUAGGGCGGCACCUUGACGGUACCUAACCAGAAAGCCACGGCUAACUACGUGCCAGCAGCCGCGGUAAUACGUAGGUGGCAAGCGUUGUCCGGAAUUAUUGGGCGUAAAGGGCUCGCAGGCGGUUUCUUAAGUCUGAUGUGAAAGCCCCCGGCUCAACCGGGGAGGGUCAUUGGAAACUGGGGAACUUGAGUGCAGAAGAGGAGAGUGGAAUUCCACGUGUAGCGGUGAAAUGCGUAGAGAUGUGGAGGAACACCAGUGGCGAAGGCGACUCUCUGGUCUGUAACUGACGCUGAGGAGCGAAAGCGUGGGGAGCGAACAGGAUUAGAUACCCUGGUAGUCCACGCCGUAAACGAUGAGUGCUAAGUGUUAGGGGGUUUCCGCCCCUUAGUGCUGCAGCUAACGCAUUAAGCACUCCGCCUGGGGAGUACGGUCGCAAGACUGAAACUCAAAGGAAUUGACGGGGGCCCGCACAAGCGGUGGAGCAUGUGGUUUAAUUCGAAGCAACGCGAAGAACCUUACCAGGUCUUGACAUCCUCUGACAAUCCUAGAGAUAGGACGUCCCCUUCGGGGGCAGAGUGACAGGUGGUGCAUGGUUGUCGUCAGCUCGUGUCGUGAGAUGUUGGGUUAAGUCCCGCAACGAGCGCAACCCUUGAUCUUAGUUGCCAGCAUUCAGUUGGGCACUCUAAGGUGACUGCCGGUGACAAACCGGAGGAAGGUGGGGAUGACGUCAAAUCAUCAU